rnacentral:lncRNA from 1 species
GUUUCUAUUACAUGGCUUUCCCAUUUAAGGCCAAUAUUGCAUCAAGAUAUGUGACUUCAAGAUAGAAAAUGUGAGGUCCAUUCUUAUAAAGUGUUAAAACCAAACAACAUAAAAACUUUGCAACCUGAAAAUACAGUAAGUUGAUGGUUUACUAAGUCUUACAAUACAGUUUCAUUAUUCAACAGAGGAACAUUCUAAUCCAGAAGUAUUCCAACAUCUUGAAAAUGAUGUACCCACCUCAGGAACCCACAUCUGGAUUCAUAAGAAGCACUGUAUAAAAGAACUAAAGUUUAAAUUGCUUCAUGAUUGCCCAGGGGUGUAGGUAGCUUCCUAGAGGAAUAAUGUAUUCAAUGGAUAAGCUGUUACCUUACCCUUAAAAUCGUUUUCUAAAUUCUUUUUUGACUCUUAGAUUUGUAAUAUAACUCAUCUCCCCUUUUGUCUCACUUUGCCUUUCUCUUUAACCGAUUACCGUUCUGUUUAGCUAUAUGUGCUCUGGGUUAUAAAGUGUAAGUAUCUCCAUAAGUCAAACAUGGAAAAGGGACUUAAGAAUAUUUUCUGGACCGAUAUCCUUCAUUUUGUAGAUGAGGAAAGAGGAAACUGUGGCACAGAAAGACUGAGAAACUGGGUUGGAGCUCUCCAGCUGCAGACCGACAGAGCCAGAAAUUGAACUGGGCUCCUAUUCAUGUGCUUUCUCCACUAGAAUAUGUUUACCAGCCAAAAGGUAGCUGGUCCUUGAAAGUGAAGAAGGGGGACAGAUUGAAGAUGUAGGAAAUAUUUUGUUUCUUUCAGGUCAGGUCUCUUUACUCUUGGGCUAGCCCACAUGCCUUUUAGAAACCAGGUAAACAUUUAUGUAUUUAUUUCAUUUGAUUCAGCAAAUAGUAUGGGCUUCACAUUGCUAUUGAGGUGGGGGUGAGGAAGGAAGGUAAAUAAAAGGAUUUUUUCAUUUUUGUUUU